rnacentral:rRNA from 1 species
AUUGAACGCUGGCGGCAGGCCUAACACAUGCAAGUCGAACGGUAACAGGAAGAAGCUUGCUUCUUUGCUGACGAGUGGCGGACGGGUGAGUAAUGUCUGGGAAACUGCCUGAUGGAGGGGGAUAACUACUGGAAACGGUAGCUAAUACCGCAUAACGUCGCAAGACCAAAGAGGGGGACCUUCGGGCCUCUUGCCAUCGGAUGUGCCCAGAUGGGAUUAGCUAGUAGGUGGGGUAACGGCUCACCUAGGCGACGAUCCCUAGCUGGUCUGAGAGGAUGACCAGCCACACUGGAACUGAGACACGGUACAGACUCCUACGGGAGGCAGCAGUGGGGAAUAUUGCACAAUGGGCGCAAGCCUGAUGCAGCCAUGCCGCGUGUAUGAAGAAGGACUUAGGGUUGUAAAGUACUUUCAGCGGGGAGGAAGGGAGUAAAGUUAAUACCUGUGCUCAUUGACGUUACCCGCAGAAGAAGCACCGGCUAACUCCGUG